rnacentral:rRNA from 1 species
UACGUAGGGUGCGAGCGUUAAUCGGAAUUACUGGGCGUAAAGCGUGCGCAGGCGGUUUUGUAAGCCUGAUGUGAAAUCCCCGGGCUUAACCUGGGAAUGGCAUUUGGGACUGCAAGGCUGGAGUGCGGCAGAGGAGACUGGAAUUCCUGGUGUAGCAGUGAAAUGCGUAGAUAUCAGGAGGAAUACCGAUGGCGAAGGCAGGUCUCUGGGCUGACACUGACGCUCAUGCACGAAAGCGUGGGGAGCAAACAGG